AGAGUUUGAUCCUGGCUCAGGAUGAACGCUAGCUACAGGCUUAACACAUGCAAGUCGAGGGGCAGCAUGAAAGUUUGCUUGCAAACUUUUGAUGGCGACCGGCGCACGGGUGAGUAACACGUAUCCAACCUGCCUCAUACUCGGGGAUAGCCUUUCGAAAGAAAGAUUAAUACCCGAUGUCAUAGUCCUACCGCAUGAUGGGAUUAUUAAAGAAUUUCGGUAUGGGAUGGGGAUGCGUUCCAUUAGUUAGUUGGCGGGGUAACGGCCCACCAAGACAACGAUGGAUAGGGGUUCUGAGAGGAAGGUCCCCCACAUUGGAACUGAGACACGGUCCAAACUCCUACGGGAGGCAGCAGUGAGGAAUAUUGGUCAAUGGACGAGAGUCUGAACCAGCCAAGUAGCGUGAAGGAUGACUGCCCUAUGGGUUGUAAACUUCUUUUAUAUGGGAAUAAAAUGUUCCACGUGUGGGAUUUUGUAUGUACCAUAUGAAUAAGGAUCGGCUAACUCCGUGCCAGCAGCCGCGGUAAUACGGAGGAUCCGAGCGUUAUCCGGAUUUAUUGGGUUUAAAGGGAGCGUAGGUGGAUUGUUAAGUCAGUUGUGAAAGUUUGCGGCUCAACCGUAAAAUUGCAGUUGAAACUGGCAGUCUUGAGUACAGUAGAGGUGGGCGGAAUUCGUGGUGUAGCGGUGAAAUGCUUAGAUAUCACGAAGAACUCCGAUUGCGAAGGCAGCUCACUGGACUGCAACUGACACUGAGGCUCGAAAGUGUGGGUAUCAAACAGGAUUAGAUACCCUGGUAGUCCACGCCGUAAACGAUGAAUAUUAGGUGUCGGUGAGCAAAGCUCAUCGGUGCCGCAGCAAACGCAAUAAAUAUUCCACCUGGGGAGUACGUUCGCAAGAAUGAAACUCAAAGGAAUUGACGGGGGCCCGCACAAGCGGAGGAACAUGUGGUUUAAUUCGAUGAUACGCGAGGAACCUUACCCGGGCUUAAAUUGCACCUGAAUAAUGUGGAAACAUGUUAGCCGUAAGGCAGGUGUGAAGGUGCUGCAUGGUUGUCGUCAGCUCGUGCCGUGAGGUGUCGGCUUAAGUGCCAUAACGAGCGCAACCCUUAUCUUCAGUUACUAACAGGUCAUGCUGAGGACUCUGGAGAGACUGCCGUCGUAAGAUGUGAGGAAGGUGGGGAUGACGUCAAAUCAGCACGGCCCUUACGUCCGGGGCUACACACGUGUUACAAUGGGAGGUACAGAAGGCCGCUACCUGGCGACAGGAUGCCAAUCCCCAAAACCUCUCUCAGUUCGGAUCGAAGUCUGCAACCCGACUUCGUGAAGCUGGAUUCGCUAGUAAUCGCGCAUCAGCCAUGGCGCGGUGAAUACGUUCCCGGGCCUUGUACACACCGCCCGUCA
rnacentral:rRNA from 1 species